AAAUAUUAUGGUACAAACCAGAAAGAAUCGACUCCAUUCAUUGUCAGCUUUAAACCCUCACCCCAACAACUACAGCUGUGUUUCAGAAAUGACCAUGACCACCAGACCCCAUCCCACUUCUCUUUCUCUCUCUGCGCGUUACUUUAACUUUCUAUUAAAACCAAAUCAUUGUUUUCAUCAUUGCAUUUCCUCAUAUCCCCCAAAACCCAUUUUUUCAUUUCAUUCCUUAAGGGAACAUGAUGUUAUGCCUUCUUGGAGAGAUCACAACGAUCGAGCCAAACACAACCUAAAACACCUUAUUUGUACCAAAGGGUACUCAGAUCAGGUUCCAGAUAUAGCUAAUCAACAAGAUCGGGAAGCUCACGUCUUGAGGGGAAUGCAGUGUGGUCCAAGGAGAUGAUAUAUCACUUCACCAUACUCGUAUCUUCACAAACUCAUCAGAUUCAGAUGUAAUAAUAAUUUGUAAUAUAUGCAUAUUAUGUCUCCUCGGACCAGGCUUCAUUCCCUUCAAUUACAGCUUCCAUCAUCUAAACCAAUACAAAUCGGUGUUCUUCUCUUCUCUCUCAGCUUUCAACCGAUCGAUCAGUUUCAUGUAUAUAAAACACUUUCCAGAUUCAUGGUGAGAUACUGAGAUUCACUGGUGGAUCCGUGUAAUGAUGAUAAAAAGAUUUGACUACACUGCACAUGUUCCCUUCUUGUCUUCAACAGAACAAGAAAAAGGCAGCCAUCAUCAUUUGCUUUUGAAUUCUGGUUUUACUUAUUUUUAGAUCUUUCUUGUGUAAUGGUUGUUUUUCAGUUUCAGUGUCCUAUAUAUCAUUCUGUUGUUACCUGUUUUCAAUCAUUGGAUCUGAAUUUCUCAUGAUGAGUAUCAAGAAGAUCUCAUGUGUGUCUGUCUAUAUUUAUAGGAUCUGUUUUAGGGUUUUCAUAGCCAAACAUGUUAGACUUUUAACUAAAUAGAAUAGUUUGAGCAUAUGCACCUAUAUUAUAGUUCUUCUUUCCUUGAUAUAUGUAUACAUAGACCCAAAAAAAUGACCAAGCGAAAUGGAGGUUUUUUUCUUUAAAUUAAUCUCCAUAACAUACAAAUCAAUUACUAUAUGAUCAUCUAUUGAUUUUCAAAGUGUUCUUCUAUGUAAGUGUGGAUAGAUUCAAGUUCCAGAACUGCUGCAUGCCGUGUGGAUCUCCACCGCCUCAGCUUUACCAACUAUUCAAUUAUUGUUCUUUUUCGUCCCUUUAAUUUCUCUUUUAAUUAUUUUCAGCAUUAAAUUCCUUUUGAGUGGAAGACAUUGAUGGAGAAGGAUAGUGUAAGUUGAAGCAUAUAGUGUGACAAAAUAUUCUGUAGAAUAGAUUCUAUUUUAUUGCUAUCUUUUCUUUCUUUAUAAAAGGAGACGUCUUUCUGCUGUCUUUUGAAAA